AGGGUCCAAGAGACUACAGAUGGACAGGGCCCUCAUUUCUCUUUGAUUUUUUUGGAAACUGGCAUGACUGGAAGAGAUUCUCUUCAAGAAGAGAAAUCACCAAGAUCUUUAUGUGCAACUCAGCCUAAAAAGCGAACAGAAUCACGAAGCCACUAUUUCACCAAAAACAAAGUGCCUUGGAACUUCACAGAUGCAACAAGCUUCUAUGCUUCGCAGCACCGAGGCUCCCCUCCAUAACCCGAGGAGUCUGGAGCACCCACUCCCAAGCAGGCCAUUCUCCAAGCAGUGACCCAAGCAUUGGCUUUGAAGACAGGCGGGGAUAACGUCACCAGCUUUGUGGCUCUGGCUUCCACUUUCUCAUUUGCAAGUGCAAGUGCAUUCACUGAUGGAGGAGAAAUCUAUGCCAUGCAUUAACAUGGCAAGUCCAUUUAAACAGCAAACAUGUAAGAAGUAGUCAAAUCUGAAGUCUCCUUUCAACUAAGCCCC
rnacentral:lncRNA from 1 species